rnacentral:rRNA from 1 species
AUGCACGCUGGCGGCGUGCCUAAUACAUGCAAGUCGAGCGAACAGACGAGGAGCUUGCUCCUCUGACGUUAGCGGCGGACGGGUGAGUAACACGUGGAUAACCUACCUAUAAGACUGGGAUAACUUCGGGAAACCGGAGCUAAUACCGGAUAAUAUAUUGAACCGCAUGGUUCAAUAGUGAAAGACGGUUUUGCUGUCACUUAUAGAUGGAUCCGCGCCGCAUUAGCUAGUUGGUAAGGUAACGGCUUACCAAGGCGACGAUGCGUAGCCGACCUGAGAGGGUGAUCGGCCACACUGGAACUGAGACACGGUCCAGACUCCUACGGGAGGCAGCAGUAGGGAAUCUUCCGCAAUGGGCGAAAGCCUGACGUAGCAACGCCGCGUGAGUGAUGAAGGUCUUCGGAUCGUAAAACUCUGUUAUUAGGGAAGAACAAAUGUGUAAGUAACUAUGCACGUCUUGACGGUACCUAAUCAGAAAGCCACGGCUAACUACGUG